UGGGGAAUAUUGCACAAUGGGCGCAAGCCUGAUGCAGCCAUGCCGCGUGUAUGAAGAAGGCCUUCGGGUUGUAAAGUACUUUCAGCGGGGAGGAAGGGAGUAAAGUUAAUACCUUUGCUCAUUGACGUUACCCGCAGAAGAAGCACCGGCUAACUCCGUGCCAGCAGCCGCGGUAAUACGGAGGGUGCAAGCGUUAAUCGGAAUUACUGGGCGUAAAGCGCACGCAGGCGGUUUGUUAAGUCAGAUGUGAAAUCCCCGGGCUCAACCUGGGAACUGCAUCUGAUACUGGCAAGCUUGAGUCUCGUAGAGGGGGGUAGAAUUCCAGGUGUAGCAGUGAAAUGCGUAGAGAUCUGGAGGAAUACCGGUGGCGAAGGCGGCCCCCUGGACGAAGACUGACGCUCAGGUGCUAAAGCGUGGGGAGCAAACAGG
rnacentral:rRNA from 1 species